rnacentral:rRNA from 1 species
GACGAACGCUGGCGGCGUGCUUAACACAUGCAAGUCGAACGGAAACGCCCUGCUUUUGUGGGGUGCUCGAGUGGCGAACGGGUGAGUAACACGUGAGUAACCUGUCCCUGACUUUGGGAUAACUUAAGGAAACUGAGGCUAAUACCGGAUAUGAGCUCCUGCUGCGUGGUGGGGGUUGGAAAGUUUCGGCGGUUGGGGUUGGACUCGCGGCUUAUCAGCUUGUUAGUGGGGUCGUGGCUUACCCAGGCUUCGACGCGUAGCCGGCCUGAGAGAGUGACCGGCCACAGUGGGGCUGAGAGGCGGCCCAGACUCGUGCGGGAGGCAGCAGUGGGGAACAUUGCACAAUGGGCGGAAGCGUGAUGCAGCAACGCCGCGUGCUGGAUGACGGCCUUCGUUGUGUAAACCGCAUGCGGCUGUGACGAAGCGUGAGUGACGGUAACGGGUAAAGAAGCACCAGCUAACUACGUG